rnacentral:rRNA from 1 species
CAGUAGCCGCGGUAAUACGUAGGUCCCGAGCGUUGUCCGGAUUUAUUGGGCGUAAAGCGAGCGCAGGCGGUUAGAUAAGUCUGAAGUUAAAGGCUGUAGCUUAACCAUAGUACGCUGUGGAAACUGUUUAACUUGAGUGCAAGAGGGGGGAGUGGAAUUCCAUGUGUAGCGGUGAAAUGCGUAGAUAUAUGGAGGAACACCGGUGGCGAAAGCGGCUCUCUGGCUUGUAACUGACGCUGAGGCUCGAAAGCGUGGGGAGCAAACAGGAUUAGAUACCCCCGUAGUCCCUGUCUCUUAUACA